GCUAAGAACUUAGAAGUUGCCAAUGAGAAAAGACAGAUAAAAGAGGCAAGUAAUAGCCAUUUAUUUUUACAAUGGUCAUUACCAAGGCUUUUAGAAUGCAGUUUCUCAUUUGCUGUGGACAUGACCAUAAAGAAAAAUUCCCAUUAGGUUUUCCAUAUGCUACUUGAGUAGCACUUAACCUGUUGGGAACAUUUUUUGAGCAAAUCUUUAUCCAGUUGUUACUUUAUAUGUAGAUGGUUCUAGAAUACUGACUACUCAUCCCAUUACUCCCAUGUUCUUAUUAUGCAGGGCUAAAACGCACAACUGGAUGCCCUUGAGAAAGGGCUAUUUUCAGAGUGCCUGGAUGGACAGCAAAGAAAUCAAACCAACCACUUAAAUAAAAAUUUAUUGACAAUAAAUAAUUUUAUACAUUAAAAAAGAACCCUUAACACAAUUUGUAGGAAGUCAGUAUGUAUUUUUGGCUUGACUUGUGCUUUCUGUAGAAAAACAGCUGUCUUUGUACUU